GCGUCGGAAGUGCAACGGUUCAGCGCGCGCUACCGGAACGAGUGAGAUCUGAGUUCGAAUCGCAGCUGAUGCA